UACGUAGGUGGCAAGCGUUGUCCGGAAUUAUUGGGCGUAAAGCGCGCGCAGGCGGUCCUUUAAGUCUGAUGUGAAAGCCCACGGCUCAACCGUGGAGGGUCAUUGGAAACUGGGGGACUUGAGUGCAGGAGAGAAGAGUGGAAUUCCCGGUGUAGUGGUGAAAUGCGUAGAUAUCGGGAGGAACACCAGUGGCGAAGGCGACUACCUGGCCUGUUCUUGACGCUGAGGCGCGAAAGCUAGGGGAGCAAACGGG
rnacentral:rRNA from 1 species